CGCACAAGCGGUGGAGCAUGUGGUUUAAUUCGAUGCAACGCGAAGAACCUUACCUGGUCUUGACAUCCACGGAAGUUUCCAGAGAUGGGAAUGUGCCUUCGGGAACUGUGAGACAGGUGCUGCAUGGCUGUCGUCAGCUCGUGUUGUGAAAUGUUGGGUUAAGUCCCGCAACGAGCGCAACCCUUAUCCUUUGUUGCCAGCGGUCCGGCCGGGAACUCAAAGGAGACUGCCAGUGAUAAACUGGAGGAAGGUGGGGAUGACGUCAAGUCAUCAUGGCCCUUACGACCAGGGCUACACACGUGCUACAAUGGCGCAUACAAAGAGAAGCGACCUCGCGAGAGCAAGCGGACCUCAUAAAGUGCGUCGUAGCCCGGAUUGGAGUCUGCAACUCGACUCCAUGAAGUCGGAAUCGCUAGUAAUCGUGAAUCAGAAUGUCACGGUGAAUACGUUCCCGGGCCUUGUACACACCGCCCGUCACACCAUGGGAGUGGGUUGCAAAAGAAGUAGGUAGCUAACCUUCGGGAGGCGCUACCACUUUAUCNNNUGGG
rnacentral:rRNA from 1 species